AGGAAGGGAUGACUGGUGACAGAGUGAGGGAAUGACUGGUGACAGUGUGAGAGAGGGGUGACUAGUGACAGAGUGAGGGAGUGAGUGAAGGGGGUGACACAGUGACAGAGUGAGAGAGGGCGUGACUAGUGACAGAGUGAAGGAGAUGGUGACUGUCACUAGUCACCCCAUCCCUCCCUCUGUCACUAAUCACCACCUCCCUCACUCUGUCACUAGUCACCCCUUCCCUCCCUCUGUCACUAGUCACCCCCUCCCUCUCUCUGUCACUAGUCACACCCUCCCUCACUCUGUCACUAAUCACACCCUCCCUCACUCUGUCACUAGUCACACCCUUCCU